UGCAGUCGAGCGGUAACAGGGGUAGCUUGCUACCCGCUGACGAGCGGCGGACGGGUGAGUAAUGCUUAGGAAUCUACCCAGUAGUGGGGGAUAGCCCGGGGAAACCCGGAUUAAUACCGCAUACGUCCUACGGGAGAAAGCAGGGGAUCUUCGGACCUUGCGCUAUUGGAUGAGCCUAAGUCGGAUUAGCUAGUUGGUGGGGUAAAGGCCUACCAAGGCGACGAUCCGUAGCUGGUCUGAGAGGAUGAUCAGCCACAUCGGGACUGAGACACGGCCCGAACUCCUACGGGAGGCAGCAGUGGGGAAUAUUGGACAAUGGGGGCAACCCUGAUCCAGCCAUGCCGCGUGUGUGAAGAAGGCUUUCGGGUUGUAAAGCACUUUCAGUAGGGAGGAAAACCUUAUGGCUAAUACCCAUGAGGCUUGACGUUACCUACAGAAGAAGCACCGGCUAACUCCGUGCCAGCAGCCGCGGUAAUACGGAGGGUGCAAGCGUUAAUCGGAAUUACUGGGCGUAAAGCGCGCGUAGGUGGUUUGGUAAGCGAGAUGUGAAAGCCCCGGGCUUAACCUGGGAACGGCAUUUCGAACUGUCAGACUAGAGUGUGGUAGAUG
rnacentral:rRNA from 2 species